UCCGUAGGGUGCAAGCGUUGUCCGGAAUUAUUGGGCGUAAAGAGCUCGUAGGCGGUUCGUCGCGUCGGCUGUGAAAUCCCGAGGCUCAACCUCGGGUCUGCAGUCGAUACGGGCGGACUGGAGUUCGGCAGGGGAGACUGGAAUUCCUGGUGUAGCGGUGAAAUGCGCAGAUAUCAGGAGGAACACCGGUGGCGAAGGCGGCUUUCUGGUCUGUAACUGACGCUGAGGCGCGAAAGCGUGGGGAGCAAACAGG
rnacentral:rRNA from 1 species